rnacentral:pre_miRNA from 1 species
GUGGUACUCCCUCCGUCCGGAAAUACUUGUCAUCAAAAUGGAUAAAAGGAGAUGUAUCUAGAUGUAUUUUAGUUCUAGAUACAUCCCUUUUUAUUCAUUUUGAUGACAAGUAUUUUCGGACGGAGGGAGUAUUUG